GUGGUUGCUUCAGCAGCACAUAUACUAAAAUUGGAACAAUACAGAGAAGACUAGCAUGGCUCCCAUGCAAGGAUGAUAUGCAAAUUCAUGAAGCAUCCCAUAUUUUU
rnacentral:snRNA from 14 species